UACGAAGGGGGGCUAGCGUUGCUCGGAAUCACUGGGUUUAAAGGGUGCGUAGGUGGAAUGGUAAGUCAGUGGUGAAAUCUCCAAGCUUAACUUGGAACUGCCGUUGAUACUAUCAUUCUUGAAUAUCGUGGAGGUAAGCGGAAUAUGUCAUGUAGCGGUGAAAUGCUUAGAUAUGACAUAGAACACCGAUUGCGAAGGCAGCUUGCUACACGAUCAUUGACACUGAGGCACGAAAGCGUGGGGAUCAAACAGG
rnacentral:rRNA from 1 species